CUGAGAUUCUAACUAUGUCCUCCGACUCCAAACUCAACAUUCUUUCCUUAUGCUCUACAGCAGUUCCCCAUUCAGAGGGUAUUCAUAAAACUUGUCUCUAGAUGGAACCUUCUAACAUCCAAUGUAAGAGUGAGGAAGAAGAGUGGACCUUAGAACACAGGCGAUCAGAUCUGCCGAUGACAUUAGAACCAACAAUUUCAAAGAUAAUGGGGAGUGACCGGAGAACACAGAAGGUGGUGGGAAAGUCUGGCCUUGGAUGGAAACUGACCUGCUGAGAACAGAAGACUAUGCUGGGCAGAACCUUCUCUACGAGCAAGACAUGGUGGCUCCUUGCUGACUGGCUGCCUGAUUGACUUUGACUAGACAUGGCCCGAUUCCUAACCAUGGUGCUCCUCUCCCCCAUCCUCUCCAGCGGAAGGCUAUACUGGGUUCCAUCCAGGUUUAAUGUCAUCUGUGCCCAUGAGAGGCCUCUGAUUAAGCUGUCUUCAUUAACGGCCCUGGAUGCGUUUGGAAAUCCUUCCUGUUUGUAAUUCGGACAAAUGGCUCAGUAACCUUUCUCCACGCCUGCUUUGCAGACAGUGCACCUGAGGGGACGAUUGAUUUAUUUUCUUCUGUAAAUGAAAAUGAUGUCUGCACUUGCUCCUAUAGACCAGGGGAUGUGGUUUCUUCACCAUGGCAGCAGAAAUAUCAGGAGUUCAGUAAGUGAAUCCAGUAACUCCAUUCCUGGGCAGUAAUUAAAUACCCUACAAAACGUUUCCCCUUCCCCAUUUUUUUUUUACACCUGCAUGGAGGAUGCUGUGCCAGUGAUCACACUCCAUACUCUUCAGCUGCCUCU